GACGAACGCUGGCGGCAGGCCUAACACAUGCAAGUCGAGCGAGCGGCGGACGGGUGAGUAAUGUAUGGGGACUGCCCGAUCGAGGGGGGAAACUACUGGAAACGGUGGCUAAUACCGCAUACUGUAGGGUAACCCAUAUGGGAUUAGCUAGUAGGUAGGGUAAUGGCUUACCACGGCGACGAUCCCUAGCUUGUCUGAGAGGGUGAUCAGGCACACUGGGAGUGAUACACGGCCCAGACUCCUACGGAGGCAGCAGUGGGGAAUAUUGCACAAUGGGCGCAAGCCUGAGGCAGCCAUGCCGCGUGUAUGAAGAAGGCCCUAGGGUUGUAAAGUACUUUCAGUCGGGAGGCGUUACCGACAGAAGAAGCACCGGCUAACUCCGUGCCAGCAGCCGCGGUAAUAC
rnacentral:rRNA from 1 species